CACGCCGUAAACUUUGGACGCUAGGUGUUCGGUACAACUACUUAACCCUUCGGGGUUAAAUGGAAGUAUUGAGUACUGCAGCUAACGCGUUAAGCGUCCCGCCUGGGAACUACGGCCGCAAGGCUAAAACUCAAAUGAAUUGGCGGGGACUCGCACAAGCAGAGGAGCGCGUGGUUUAAUUCGACGGCAAUCGAAGAACCUUACCAGGGUUUGAAAUGUAUCUGCAUGCCUUAUGAAAGUUUGGCAGCCUUCGAGGGUGAUACACAGGUGC
rnacentral:rRNA from 1 species